ensembl:lncRNA LINC01721 long intergenic non-protein coding RNA 1721
ACGACAGGAAAAAUGGAGAAUGGAUAGUGAGGCGUGAUCAGCAGGCUCUUCCAUGACAACCAGCAGGGCCUGCUGAAUCAUUCCUGCUCCUGUGGAGAUGAGUUUGGAGUUUUAUGCUAACAUCAUCUCUGCUUCACUUUUUCUCCAUGGCGAGUAAUUUGAAGGGGAUCACUGACCGUGCCAUGGCACACAAAAGCACAACUUCAGAAACAAGAUGUGGCUCGGGGACAACUUAGAGGUUAUUUGAGACGCUGCAGGUUUUCAGCAGGUGCUUCCAAUCCAUGGACUUGGAGAAGAAUGUCAGCUAAUGGCUGCCACUGUGCUGCCAGGCUUCCAUCCAGGGACUUUAGUAAAGUUCUGCUGAAAGAGAUGUAAACCGGGAGAGGGAUGGAGGCUGGAUCCUGGAGUGUGAAUAUUUGACCAUCCUUUACCCCAGCAGCACCUCCACGCAAGGUUUUACAUAGCAGUGGGUUUGUGUUCCCAUCAAACUGGGCCUGGUCAGGGUCAAGCAAGCCCAAGCCUCUGCCCCCGCAUGCUGAGUAGGGGGGCAGUACUCCUGAAGGUGUUCUCACCAGUUCGAGGCCUGCUCUGCAUAGCCUGGGCACUGCCCAACCAGGAGGAUGUGUGUUUAGGAAUGUUUCCCUGCAGAACUAGCUAAGUCUGGCUGUGCCUGGUUGAAGCCUCCUACAUUCCAGAACAUAAGCUGUGAUCCCCAAAUGAGCACGGUUGUCCUGCGAGAGAUGUACUUUGCUCUAGUGGUCUGUGGAAGGGUAGAGAUGCAACACCCUCUUGGUUAAAAUGACAACUCACUUUAAGAGACACCGAAACUGUACAAUCCAUCCUGAAAGUCAGUGCCUUCUUGCUGCAUCCUCUGGAGAGAAGGAGCCCUGCGUCCUCAGGGAAGGCAGAAGGGCAGGCAAGCCGGAUACUGUGAUGGUGCCUCUUCCAUUCACAAGGGAGGAGCCCUCACAGCCUUGUCAUCACCUCCUAAAGGCCUUGCCUUUUAAUUUGAUCACAUGGGCCAUGAAGUUUCAACACCUGAAUUUUGGCAGAAAUGCAUUCAAACCACAGCAGACCCAUUAUCCUAUUUCUAAGGAACCUGGGAUAAGACAAGUCCAUAGGACAGGCAUGGACAAGCGUCCUGAGCCCUGGGGCCAGGGGAAAUCCAAGGUAACAAGGGAAAUUGGCGAUCCCAGCCAGGUGCAUGGCUAGAGCAGUUCUUUCCUUCGGAAGGGCAGCGAUGGAAAUUUCAGCUCUACUUUUUCCUUUUCCCGAGCUGUGUGAUCUUGAGCAGCUUCCUUGCAGCUCAUCCUUCAUGUCCUAAAACAGAUGAUACAGCAACAUCAGCAAGGUGGCAGACUAAGGAACUUCAGACACUACUUACUACCCCCAGAAACAUUUUUUUAAAAACAAUUAGAGGACCUUUGGAAAAUAGUGAAAAGGUACAGGAGCCAAGCAACUGCCCAUUCAAGAAAAAGCAACAUUCAAAAUGCAGGAGAUUUUGUGGAUUUGUACUCCCCCUUUCUGCACCCUUCCCUGGCACUGAGCAGUGUUGGUUUGGAGGAGGUGGCAGCCCAGCUCCCAGUUCUUUCCCUCUAAUGUUAGUGAGCAGAGUCUAACCUGUCUGGGGAUGGCUUGAAGGAUUAGUCCUGCUUUGUUCAACUCAGAGCUCAGAAUAAGAGAAGCAGUUUAAUUCAGAUUGCAGGCUGAGAAAAAGCUAUGGAAAGCAGCAGGAACUGCUCUUAAAAACUGCAGGGAGGCUACAGAGACUGAAGAUGCCUGGGCAAGAGAUUUCAAAUGGAAGCAUGUAAUAAACCCUCUAAGGGCACACAAAGAAGCUGGAACAAGACUUUUGGAAAAUUAAGAUGUCUAAAAGGAGCCAUGUUUAUGGGGAAAUAGUUAAAGCCACAUGAAGGCUCAGACGAGAUGCAUACUCAGAAAAAACCUGAGAAGAUCUUAAGCUACUCCUUGGGCUGACUCCAAGGCUCAGAACAUGUCCUGAGAAUUAGUGAAGAUCUUCCCCAUCACAUAGCCUGUCCGCAAAUACUAGGAGAAGUGGCUGUUUUUUCAAAUUCUUAAUUCUCAACAACGACAACAAAAAUCACAAGGCGUACAAAGACACCAGAAAAUACAACUUCUUCAGGGAAGAAAAUGAAUUGUCGGAAACCACCCGUAAAUCCAAGAAAAUGAUGGAGGCAAGUCUCAACCUUUUUAGAAGUAUAUUUUGCCGAGGUGAAAGACACGCCCAGGAGAAAGGAACACGUACCCACAGGAAACAUCUGCGGUCUGUGCUUUUUCCACACAGGGUCUGGGGGCUUCAUUAUUUAUAGGGAAAACAGCAGGCAGUAGGUGAAAGAGGAAGAGAGAAAAAAAGGGAGGGUAGGUAAGGCGAGCAGUUGCAUUCCUUUCAGUCUUUUGAUUAUUUUCACUGAGUCCACAUUUUUCAUGUGAAAGAAGCCGGCUAAGGAAAAGUCAAUUAUGCAUUCUUCUGGUUCCGUGAAUCUGCGUUUUUAACAUAAGAUAAAAUAAUCAUAGAGUAUAGGAAGCAGUCAGGUACGGAUUUGUCUCAGUUGAGCAGAGAGAGGACUUUUUGUUCUGUCCUUUGCCCUAUGCCUGUGAAGAUAAGCUGUUAAUAAUGUACAUUGUCAGGGUGAAAUUUAACAGAACCACUUUAGGGUAAAGAUCUUGGGGCCCAUAGGAAAUUUUCUUGUGAGAAAAACUUGAGGAAGGAUGUAGCCAUCUAUUUGGGAACAAAAUAGGAGGCAGGUUUGCAUGACCCAGCUCCCAGCUUGACUUUUGCCUUUGGCUUAGUGAGCUUCAGGUACUGAGAUUGUAUUUUUCUUUCACACACCCUUGAAGAAACAUGCAAAUAUCAAUUAAAAGAGAGGAAGUGUGGCUAUAUUAACAUGAAAUAAAAUACACUUUAAGUCAAAAACUGUUACAAGACACAAAGAAGGACAUUAAAUAUAGUUGAAGGGUGACUUCAUCAGGGAGCAAUGACAAUUAUAAACACAUAUGCACCAAACAUUAGAGUGCCUAAUUAUUUGAAGCAAACAUUGACAAAAUUGAAGAGAGAAAUAGAUAGUUCUACAAUAAUGGUAAGACACUUCAAUGACCCUACUUUCCACAGUGGAUGAAACAGCCAGAAAGAACAUAGAUAAGAAAAUAGAGGACUUGAACAGCACUAUAGACCAAUUGGAUCUAAUAAAUAUAUGCAGAACACUCCACACAACAUACGAGGAGUACACAUUGUUCUCAUGUAAAUGUGAAACAUUCUCCAAAACAGCCCAUAUGUGUGAUAUUAUAUAUAUAACAUACAUAUUUUAUAUGUAUCAUAGAUAUUAUAUAUCUCUCUAUAGAAUUAAUAUAUAGAUAUAGAUAGA